UUGUAAUUUCCAAAAACGGGCGCGGCGAUGAAACAUGAGGAAUCUAGGGCAAACAAAUAUGAAUUCAGAAGACACCACUUUCCGGUUUCAGCCUACGGAAAAC
ensembl:ncRNA F59B2.16 ncRNA